GUGAUCAAGAUGGAGAAGCAGGGCACGUGCAUUACUAACUCAUGCACAAGAAUUGUCAGUGAUCAGUUCGAAAAGUUUUAUGGCAUUCAUCUGACAUCAUAAUUCAUAGUACCAUUAAAGUACUUCCUAGCAUAGUGGAAAAUAAUGUGUUUCAGUUGUGGUAAAUGAGUUAGUUCUUCAUGUGCCUGUCUUCCCCAUCAUGACCAC
rnacentral:pre_miRNA from 1 species